AUAUAUGAUGAUUUAACGAAAACAAAAGCUGGAAUUACUGGCUGAUAUCUUAUGAUUGAUAAAGUUUUUGCACCUUUACGCUAACUGAUU
rnacentral:snoRNA from 1 species